rnacentral:rRNA from 1 species
UUGGAGGGCAAGUCUGGUGCCAGCAGCCGCGGUAAUUCCAGCUCCAAUAGCGUAUAUUAAAGUUGUUGCAGUUAAAAAGCUCGUAGUUGAACUUCGGGGUCUACCCAUUGGUCAGGCUUAAUUGUCUGCACUGGUGAGAUGGAUCUCUACCUUCUGAGGAACUUUCAUGCCAUUUAUUUGGUGUGGUUGGAAAUCAGGACUGUUACUUUGAAAAAAUUAGAGUGUUUAAAGCAGACUAUCGUCUGAAUACAUUAGCAUGGAAUAAUGAAAUAGGACGGACUGAUUCUAUUUCGUUGGUUUCUAGGAUCACCGUAAUGAUUAAUAGGGAUAGUUGGGGGCAUUAGUAUUCAAUUGUCAGAGGUGAAAUUCUUGGAUUUAUUGAAGACUAACUACUGCGAAAGCAUUUGCCAAGGAUGUUUUCAUUAAUCAAGAACGAAAGUUAGGGGAUCGAAGACGAUCAGAUACCGUCGUAGUCUUAACCAUAAAUCUAUGCCGACUAGGGAUCGGACGAAGUUAAUUUUAUAAUGACGCGUUCGGCGCCUUACGGGAAAC